rnacentral:rRNA from 1 species
CUUGGUCAUUUAGAGGAAGUAAAAGUCGUAACAAGGUUUCCGUAGGUGAACCUGCGGAAGGAUCAUUCAUAAUAAGUGUUUUAUGGCACUUUUUUAAAUCCAUAUCCACCUUGUGUGCAAUGUCAGGGUUGGUUUCUCUCUUUUGAGAGAUCAACCCCAAACAUCAACUCUAUCUUAACUCUUUGUCUGAAAAAUAUUAUGAAUAAAACAAUUCAAAAUACAACUUUCAACAACGGAUCUCUUGGCUCUCGCAUCGAUGAAGAACGCAGCGAAAUGCGAUACGUAAUGUGAAUUGCAGAAUUCAGUGAAUCAUCGAAUCUUUGAACGCAUAUUGCGCUCUUUGGUAUUCCGAAGAGCAUGCUUGUUUGAGUAUCAGUAAACACCUCAAAGCCUUUUUUCUUUUUUGAAGAAAGGCUUUGGACUUGAGCAAUCCCAACACCAAUCUUUUAAAGAGAGGGGGCGGGUUGCUUGAAAUGCAGGUGCAGCUGGACAUUCUCCUGAGCUAAAAGCAUAUUCAUUUAGUCCCGUCAAACGGAUUAUUACUUUUGCUGCAGCUAAUAUAAAGGGAGUUUGACCGUUUUGGCUGACUGAUGCAGGAUUUUCACAAGAGUCUUCAAAACCUCUUGUUAAACUCGAUCUCAAAUCAAGUAAGACUACCCGCUGAACUUAAGCAUAUCAAUAAGCGGAGGA